rnacentral:rRNA from 1 species
GGUUAAUUUGAAAAUUAAUUAAUAAGUUAAUAUUAAAAUAAUUUUUAAUUAAAUUUAGGUGUUUUAGUAUAUUUUAUAGAAAAAAAUUUUAAAUUUUAUAGGGGAUAAGUAUUGUAAAUGAAUUUUGAAAUAAUUGAAAAUUAAUUUUUUAUAAAGUAGAUUUGAUUUAUUGUAUCUUG